UCUUAAUCAUUGAAUCAAUGGUUCUUGAGAUAACGUAAGGGAUAAAAAUGAUAGUACCUUACUAUAAGUGUUGUCCAACAAUACUGGUGCCAGAAGACUCGGUAACGCCAGAAACGCAAACGUUAGUCGUCCUAAUCAGGCGUAAAGGGUAAGUAGGCUGCUUUGAAAGUUGUUAAUUAGAAAGCUCUUUAAAAAUUUUUUAAAGGUAAUUAAUAAUGAAUUAAAGCUAGAAUCAAAUAGGGGAUAAGCCAAAUAAUAUUUAGUGUAAGGCUAAUAUCUUUAGAUACUAAAUGGAAUACUAAGGUGAAAACUUUUAUCUACUAAUGAUUGACGCUGAGGAACGAAGGUGAGAAUAGAAAACAGGAUUAGAGACCCAGGUAUCUCUCACUGUCAACGAUGAAUGGUAGUUGUUAGUUAAACUUAACUAGUAACGAUGUUAACGCGUUAACCAUUCCGCCUUGCGAGUAC
rnacentral:rRNA from 1 species